UACGUAGGGGGCAAGCGUUAUCCGGAAUUACUGGGUGUAAAGGGAGCGUAGACGGUUAUGUAAGUCUGGAGUGAAAGGCGGGGGCCCAACCCCCGGACUGCUCUGGAAACUAUGUUACUAGAGUGCAGGAGAGGUAAGCGGAAUUCCUAGUGUAGCGGUGAAAUGCGUAGAUAUUAGGAGGAACACCAGUGGCAAAGGCGGCUUACUGGACUGUAACUGACGUUGAGGCUCGAAAGCGUGGGGAGCAAACAGG
rnacentral:rRNA from 1 species